rnacentral:rRNA from 1 species
UGGGGAAUAUUGCACAAUGGGCGCAAGCCUGAUGCAGCCAUGCCGCGUGUAUGAAGAAGGCCUUCGGGUUGUAAAGUACUUUCAGUCGGGAGGAAGGUGUCAAGGUUAAUAACCUUGGCAAUUGACGUUACCGACAGAAGAAGCACCGGCUAACUCCGUGCCAGCAGCCGCGGUAAUACGGAGGGUGCAAGCGUUAAUCGGAAUUACUGGGCGUAAAGCGCACGCAGGCGGUCUGUCAAGUCGGAUGUGAAAUCCCCGGGCUUAACCUGGGAACUGCAUUCGAAACUGGCAGGCUAGAGUCUUGUAGAGGGGGGUAGAAUUCCAGGUGUAGCGGUGAAAUGCGUAGAGAUCUGGAGGAAUACCGGUGGCGAAGGCGGCCCCCUGGACAAAGACUGACGCUCAGGUGCGAAAGCGUGGGGAGCAAACAGG